UUUUAUUAUUAUGACUAAGGGUUGGGUCAGUGGAGAUUGGGCCCCCACUAAAAACUGUUAUGGCUUGAUUGUGAUUGUGCAACAGCAGGUCACCAAGAAAGUGUGAUUAAAAGAAGAAACUGAUUAGGCAUCCUGGCUUUGAUCAUACAAGUGACUCCAUUGUACAUGUGAUGAAUUUAGGACCCAAUGCAUUCCUCUC